UGAUGUGUACGUGAAUCAUCGAAUCUUUGAACGCAAUUUGCACCUCGUGGCAUUUGUCACAAGGUAUACUUGUUUGAGUAACCGAAACAUCUCACCUACCCUAUUGGGCAAGUGGAUUUGAGAGAUUCGAUGAGCGCACUUGUGAUUGCGAGUCGUCUCUUUAAAUGAGUUGACAGCAGUGGGGGGUCAUUUUGAGCCUGAAGGACUAUUGGGAUAACAUCCUAGCAAUCGUCCAUGGAUUCAAUGAUCAACAUGUCAAAGAGUUGGAUAUGUGAUAUUCGACAAUGGACAAGAGAGUCAUUAGUGAUUCGCUUGUCUCGUUAAUGGUUCUCAAAUCAAGCAAGGAUACCCGCUGAACUUAAGCAUAUCAAUAAGCGGAGG
rnacentral:rRNA from 1 species